rnacentral:lncRNA from 1 species
AAAAAGUAAUUAAAGGAUGAUAGUUGUGCCAAUAUUAUCUAGUGGCAAACUUGAGGGACUAAAAUAGGGUAAAAUGAAAGUUGAAUAUUAUUUAUGAAAAACACACACAAAUACACACACACGUACGUGUGUUCUAGAAGAGCAGGAGCUCCAUAAGAGCUCAAAACCCUAAACAUGAAGGAUCAUCAAAUUGAAGGGCAAAUCAAGGUCUAAAUUCAUGAAUAAACACGGUUUAAUGAUCACCUCUUCAUGGGGAUCGCAAGGUAUGUUCUAAAAGCUAGUUUGGUGAUUAUCCAUGAAGCGGGUUAUGAUGUAAAUCACGAAUUUGUGUGAAAUUGAGUAUAAGUAUGUGUUAGAAUCAUCAUUUGGAACAUGGGAUAUGCAUGAAUUAGGUUAAUUUAAUGUUUAAGGGUGAAACCCGUUUGUUAUGGUGAAGAUGAUGACAUGGGUAAAUCAUCUAUGUCUAAGUUCUUGCUUAAUAUUGAUGUAUUUUGAGUUGUAUGAUGUAUUAUUGUUAGAAGAAUUGAAAGAAAUGUGAUACUAGUAUGUUUGAUGUUUAUGCAUGUAUGAAUCAUGUUGAUUAGGGGGAAGAAAUUGAUGAAUUGUGUACGAGAUUAGAAUGAUAUGCAUGAACUAGUUGUACACUAUGCUUACAAGGUAGUACAUAUAUCAAAAGUAAGAUGAAUUAUGAAGAACUUAAGAUUAGAUCACUUGUAAGUGAUUAACAAGUAGUUAUGAAGUGGGUUUUAGAUGAUGUAAUGUAAAUUGAUGAUUCACUUAUGUUAAUAAUGUUUGGAAUCAUACACGUGUGUGAAUGUUUAAAGAUAUGGGAUAAGAAAUGAUGAAUUGUUGUUAGAUGAAGUGAAUAAAAUGUGAUGAUAACAUGUUUGAUGUUUAAUUUAAAUACCCCAUGUUGGAUUGUAGAAGCAUUUGAUGAACUAUGUAUGAAUUUAGAAGAUUGUGUAUGAAUAAGUUGUACGUUAUGCUUAAAAGGUAGUACGUACAUCAAGUGAAUGAUAAAAUGUAUAUAGUGUCGUCCGUAUAGUCGAUUAUGAUGUUACAGGAAUAUGUUGAUAAGUCGAUAGUUAUGUAUGGUUGAUAGUUGACUUUUGAAAGUCAACUAAGUAUAAGAAACAUGAGUUGACUCGUUGUCGUAAAUGUAGGUUGAUGAGAAGUCGUAUGGUACAUGUAAUAGCAAUCCGUGUUAAUUGUAAUGACAUGAUGAGUUACAUGAGUUAAACGUAUACGGACACGAUUAUAUGAGUUAUGUUUGUUAGAAAUGGUUAAUGAAAGUUAAGUGUGAAAUAUGGGAUUGAUACGAUUGUUAUCAUGUACAAAUAAGUAUGCUAAUGAUAGCGUGAUUUCGAUGACAUGGAAGAAUAGGAAUCAUGUCGAGACGGAAUCAGGCACGAAAGGCUAACGGGUCAAGAAGUGGCGAGGAACGAAUGGGAACACGGAUGCAUGAGGUAAGUGAUUCCGUAAUCACUUCUUAGUUGUUUAUGUAAAGUUAUAUGCAUUUUAAUUAAAUGUGAUAAUUGAGGUCAAUUAGGAAUGAAUUGUAUGAUGUCAAUGAGUAUUAAAUGGAUCUUAGCUUUUAUCCGAGCAAUGUAUGUAUGAUUAAGAAUUUUAGUUAAGUAGGAGAAUUCGUUACUUGUGUAAGGAAUUCCUUUGUUGUUAAGGAUAGAGCGAAAUUGACAAAAACGCCCCUAGAUAGGUAUAUCGGGCAAACGACCUUGAAUGUCGAUUGGAAACAAGUGAACCGACUAGAAUAAUGUGUUGGUCAUGUGUGAAAGCGAAGAGUAUGGUUCUGUUAUGUUAUAGACCAUUUAAUGCACAAAUAUCCAAACGGGUCAAAAAUGAGCUUUUAAGCGAAAAUGGGUUAAGAGGAUGCAAGGCAUCCGGGAAUUAAAUCUUUUAUGAUAGGCGUCAAUGAAAUUAUUAAGUUUAUAUGAGACUGAGGUCAAAUAAACAGAUUAUGAUGAUAAAUGCACGAACGGGUCAAAUAAUUAGAAUAUGAUAAUAAGCCGAAUGCAUGUAAGUUAAGAAUUUCCUUAAUCCGGAUAUAGGAUUUUAAGUUCAUAUGAUAGAAUGUGAAUUUACAAGCAUGUAGGAAGAAACGGGAGGUUAAACGGGUAAACGGGUCAAAAGUUACGCGCGUAUUAGUGCGUACGGACGACGAAACGGAUCUGCAGAAAAAUGAACUUUCUAGAGGGCGUCGCCGACGGGUAUAUACCCGUCGCCGACGGGCUCCCAAAUGUUCAAAAUCAGCCGACGCCUUAAGCUCCUGGUUACGGCCUUAUGUGCUUACGGGCGAUUUGAGAGGCCGUCGCCGACGGCCUAGGACCCGUCGGCGACGGGCUGUCUUUUCCCCUUCUCCGUUUUCUUUGUUUUGUACAUCCGACUGAUCAGUAACGCAUCCCGGUGCAUCGUUUUUCGACCCAAUGGUUUAUUAAGCUCCCGAAAAGCCCUUUUAGCUCAUGUGGAAAGGCAUGUAUGUAUGUAUGUAUGUAUAUGCGUGUGUAUGUCUUAGGUAUGUAUGUAGGUGUGUAUGUAGGUAGAACAUAUAUACACGAAAGCGAAAAUGUACGAAGAUAUGUAUGUACGUAGAUUGUGUGAAGGCAUGAAAUGAGUAUGUAUGUAUGUAUAAUGAUAUAGACGAGUGUAUGCAUGUAUGUAAUGUUGUAGGAAAGAUAUGUACGAAUGUAUAUAUGGAUGUAUGUAAGUGAGUACGUAUGUAAUGUAGAUGUGUACGUAUGUAUGUAUGUAAGCACGUAUGUAUUGUAGAGGUGUAUGUAUGUAUAUGUGCAUGUAUGUACGUAUGUUAGUACGUAGGUAAUUAUGAUUUGGAGACGUUGGGAGUUAAUGUUAUUAAUGGUGUACUUUGAGAAUGAAAAGUAAUGCAGGUACAUCAUUGAAGCAUCACCGGGAAGUGAAUACGCAGAUGACAUGCUUAAAGCUUGAAAGAUGACGAAAUGUGUUGUACAGAUAAUGGGCGAUUAUCACAAGGAUUAGAGAUCGAAGAUCGAGUCACAAGUUAGAUUGUACGGGGACGUUGAAUGUAAAAUGUAGCAAUCAUAAGUUAUGUUUUUAAUUAGUAAAUAAGAGGAUGACGGGUUUAU